CCUUAAGUCACUGAUAUUACACAAAGUCGUCACAGGAGCAGCACACUAGGCAAUCCCUGCAACAGGAGCUCGAGAGUGGGAAUGAUCCUCGCGUCGGGGGUUAAGGCUUAACGACGGCGUUACGAGAGCAACACGACGGCGUAACGGGAGCAACACGACGCGAUCCAAGCAAGAAGCAACACCAAUCGGCGGCAGCGGCGAGCAGCAACUGAAAGCGAAAGCCAGGCGGACGCACGAGCCAGGCUUCUGCCAAGCGAGCGACUUUUAGAAUGGACGUGCAACUGGACGACGUUCCAGCAGAUACGUGUGUGUUUGUGCGAGUGCGACGCGUAUCUUUGCAUCUGUAUCUGCAUCCGACUCAUAAAAUGGCUGCUGCUGCUGCUGCUGCCGCUGCCGCUGCUCCGUGAUAUUCUAAUUUGGUUUUCGCGACUCAUUCGAGCUUCUGUGUACUUAUUCGAUAAGGGCUGCAAAUAAUUCAGGUGGUGCGGUGGCGACGUCUUCAUUUUUUAAUUUCAACGCCCGUGUUUCGUAACCAAUCAAACUUGUGUUUAUGUGCCGCUACCAUGGAACGUGUCUAUUUCCGAAUUCCCGGAGUCGCAGUGCACGGCACAUACCAUCCGAUCCGCUUUUGUUUCGGACUGCAAUCGGAAUUGUUGCUUCAAGUUUUGGCAGCAACUCAUCAUCGCGUAAUGGGUCAAGCACCGACGGAUUGGCCAGGAAGUGAGUGCGUGAUUGGAGCGGCGUAGCCAAUUCAACGAGUAUUCAAGAGCUCUAAGCGGUCAAUCCGGCUCAAGGUCGAACCCAACACUUUGCUGGAUCUGUGGAUACUUUGGUUACUUUCAACAAUGUAUUGUUAUCGUGUCGUUGAACCACCGCCACCUCCCAUCCUCCCAAGCCCCAAGUCAAGCGAUUGCAGCGCCUUGAAAUCGAAAUUGAAGUUAAAGUUUGAAGUUGGUGCUGAAGCUGUGAAGUCGCUCCGCCAAAGGGCAAUCUGACGGAUACUUUGUAGAUCAACAGCUGUGUGACUCGUGUCUUGUUUUCCUAAAUGCCGCUAUUUUUAUGCUGCACGGAAAGAAAUAAAUAAUAGCUAGAAAGAAAGCCAAGGAAGAUUGA